GACGGGGCCCGCACAAGCGGCGGAGCAUGUGGUUUAAUUCGACGCAACGCGAAGAACCUUACCAGGGCUUGACAUCCCCUGACCGCGUAUGAAGUACGUUUUCACCCUCGGGUGACAGGGAGACAGGUGGUGCAUGGUUGUCGUCAGCUCGUGUCGUGAGAUGUUGGGUUAAGUCCCGCAACGAGCGCAACCCCUAUUGUUAGUUGCCAUCAUUCAGUUGGGCACUCUAGCGAGACUGCCGGUAAUAAACCGGAGGAAGGUGGGAUGACGUCAAAUCAUCAUGCCCCUUAUGACCUGGGCUACACACGUGCUACAAUGGUUGGUACAACGAGUUGCGAGUCGGUGACGGCGAGCUAAUCUCUUAAAGCCAAUCUCAGUUCGGAUUGUAGGCUGCAACUCGCCUACAUGAAGUCGGAAUCGCUAGUAAUCGCGGAUCAGCACGCCGCGGUGAAUACGUUCCCGGGCCUU
rnacentral:rRNA from 1 species